CAGAGUUCAUUUGAUGCUGUAUGUAUACAUCAAAACAGAACACUUAACUGUGAUUAUCUUCUCUGGUAGAAAGUAAAUACCGUGUUUAACCAUCUGGCAAAAUAAUGAAUCCCGUUUUGGGCGUAGGGUAUUAUGGUAGUAUGCCAAAAGUGGGCUUAAUCUUGUAGUUCAAUUAUUUGUCUGGUAAAACAUGAAAACCAUGAUCUAGACUGAUGAAUCCUAAGUACUUUUGGUUUAUUAAUUGCAGCUUCCUCCCGAGUGGACUGAUCAGUUUGAGUCAGGUAUUCAGGUCAGAAAUCAAAGUCCAGCACUAUUAUUGCUUCUGUCCUGCCUUUUCCUUUCUAUAUUUGGGUGUUUUGUUCAAGUUUGCUUCAUUAUUUACUCUUUUUCUUGCUUAGUCAAGUCUUGAUUUGUUUUCACCAGACUAUUGCUGUAAUUCAAGCUGGCCAUGGCCUCUUGCAGCUCGGUUCCUGCAAGAUUGUGAGUUUUGAUUACUGAUUCUUUUGCCCUUUUCUUGAACUUGAAUACUUAGCAUAGCCCGUGAAAGAAAAAGUAACUGGAGAUGAAAAUCUUUUUAUACUUCUCAGAUACCUGAAGACCUCCACUUUGUGCU
rnacentral:lncRNA from 1 species